UACAGAGGGUGCAAGCGUUAAUCGGAAUUACUGGGCGUAAAGAGCGCGUAGGUGGUUCGUUAAGUUGGAUGUGAAAUCCCCGGGCUCAACCUGGGAACUGCAUUCAAAACUGACGAGCUAGAGUAUGGUAGAGGGUGGUGGAAUUUCCUGUGUAGCGGUGAAAUGCGUAGAUAUAGGAAGGAACACCAGUGGCGAAGGCGACCACCUGGACUGAUACUGACACUGAGGUGCGAAAGCGUGGGGAGCAAACAGG
rnacentral:rRNA from 1 species